CCUUACGGGACCCUGGGUAACAAGGAGCAGCCGGCCGGCGGCCAAGUUAACUCUUGGUAUAAUUUGUCUCUCUGAGCAUAAACAUAAAUGAAUCAAAACUUUCAACAACGGAUCUCUUGGUUCUGGCAUCGAUGAAGAACGCAGCGAAAUGCGAUAAGUAAUGUGAAUUGCAGAAUUCAGUGAAUCAUCGAAUCUUUGAACGCACAUUGCGCCCUCUGGUAUUCCGGAGGGCAUGCCUGUUCGAGCGUCAUUUCAAACCCUCAAGCCUGGCUUGGUGUAGGGGCACUUGCUUUACCCACAAAGCAGGCCCUGAAAUAUAGUGGCGAGCUCGCCAGGACUCCGAGCGUAGUAGUUAAACCCUCGGCUUUGGGAAGUGCUGGCGNGUGCCCUGGCCGUUUAAACCCAAAUUUUGAAAUUUGACCUCGGGA
rnacentral:rRNA from 1 species